AAAUCGAUGAGCAACAUAAAUAGAGUUGUAAUAGUACUAUAGCUUCUAGUACUCUGUUAUUUUUUUUAUUUUUUUGGUGACUUAUUUUUACAUUACCACUGUGAGAAGUUUCACCAGCAGUAUAAUGAAGGCUAUGAUUUUUUUUAUACUUCUAUUGAGUGCCAGCACUUGGGAAUUAGUUAAUGCAGUUUUACUCAAGUGUUCAGAUACCUAUGAACCGUGCGAUUCGACCAAGAAAUGCUGCUUGAAAUCUGAUACUUGCAGGCAAAAAUGGAGAAGUGCGGGACACGAGUGUGAACCAAACCAUAAGUGAUCGAAAGAGGAAAUUGUAAUUAAAACAUUGUUUGAGUAAAGCAUACAAUAUGA